rnacentral:ncRNA from 1 species
AAAUAUAUACAGGGGAGCUUUUGCUGAGACUGAAUUUUUUCUAAACCCUCAGAACCUGCCGGAUAAUGCCGAUAAGGGAGUUUAUAUUAUUGUAUC